rnacentral:rRNA from 1 species
AUUGAACGCUGGCGGCGUGCCUAACACAUGCAAGUCGAGCGGUAACAGGUGUAGCAAUACAUGCUGACGAGCGGCGGACGGGUGAGUAACGCUUGGGAAUCUGCCUGUUAGUGGGGGACAACCCGGGGAAACUCGGGCUAAUACCGCAUACGCACUACGGUGGAAAGCCGGGGACCGCAAGGCCUGGCGCUAACAGAUGAGCCCAAGUCGGAUUAGCUAGUUGGUAGGGAACGGCCUACCAAGGCGACGAUCCGUAACUGGUCUGAGAGGACGACCAGUCACACCGGAACUGAGACACGGUCCGGACUCCUACGGGAGGCAGCAGUGGGGAAUAUUGGACAAUGGGCGAAAGCCUGAUCCAGCGACGCCGCGUGGGUGAAGAAGGCCUGCGGGUUGUAAAGCACUUNAGUAGGGAAGAAUGCUUGGAGCUAACACCGCCAAGUUUUGACGUUACCUACAGAAGAAGCACCGGCUAACUCCGU